rnacentral:lncRNA from 1 species
AUUAACCCGCCUUAAGUUAAGCCCAUAUUUUGAAAGGCGAAACCAGAAACUAAGGGACUCAUUUUUCUCGCACUGAACUAAGCGGAUACAGAUGUGGAGAAAAGAGUUUGCGAAGAUGAUCGCACAUCACAUCAGGUUCAUGAAAUUUUUCUGUUUAUUUAGAAAACGAAAGUGUAAUUUUCGUUCUACAACGCAUUGACAGAUUAAUCAGAAGAAUUUGAUAUUAGAUGUCAUAAUUUGCUAUUCAAUUUCGUACCUUCUGAUUAUCAGAAGCUGCCCAUGAAUUCCCCAUAGUGGGUAGCUAAUCGUUUUCCACGAGGUGGAGACAUUAUUUAAGCAUAUAAUUAAAUGCUCAUGUUGUAAAAUUGUGGAUUGUCAUCUGAAUGUCUUACAAAAAUGCUGAAUGUACUACACGUAUCAUGGAUCUUAUCGGUCUGAUUUUAUGCAUGUUUUUCUUUAUGUGGAAAGAGGGAAAAUGAUAGGAGAUGUGGGGUUUGAGAUGACUGGGAAGCCUCUUCUAAAAGAGCCCUGAAGCUGGACAAUGUCGGAUAUAUAUCACUGUGGAGUUGUAGCUUUAAAGUGCAUUGAUGAUAACAUUAGCUAGUUUUUGCCUAUUUUUAAGUGUUCUAUCAUUUCAACCAACGUAUAGAGGAAAGAUAUUGUGAAGGUUAUACCUCAAGCACAGACGUGAUUCUGCUGUGGAUACACUAUUAACAAUAGUAAUCUAAAAUAAAGAGCAAACGGUGAUGUGAGCACAAGAAAAUUAGAUGGAAGUUUAAUAGAAAAUUAAAGCUACGGAUCUUUUCAGAAAUAUGGAUGACAGUAAAGCAAGUUUGUUCAGUUGGACAGAUGCUACUUGGGUGUUCGUUCAGUUUGCAUUUGUAGUCAUGCUAAAUAUUUUGCUUAUUACAAUGACCUGAACUUUGAGUAAUCUGAAUUUUGGUUGUCUUUCUAUAUGAACUGCCUCUCAGCAUAGUAAUUGGUGCUAGUUGGGGUAGGUUUGUGUGCAUCUUAUGAACUUCUUUGUUGUUUACAACAAUUGAACAACUACCAGUAAUUUGUUCUUUCCUUUUCUGCUAUUGUGUAAAUGGAAAUGCAAAUAUGCAAACUCUCUGUCCUAGCGAAAACAUUUGUACUUUUUGUUUUCGUUAAUGUACAAUCUACAUGCACUUAAUCACAUUUUUUUUGUCUGUGCAUUUUAUAGUAUCUGUUGCCACAUGUAUUUUGAAUAUAACCUUAUAUUCCCUUUCUGGAUCAAUAUGAAAUUCAUGUUUCCUAAAAGGUUAUUCAACAAAUAAUGCUUGCCUCACCUUCCCACAACCCUUUUCUUUUUUUCUCUUAUUUGCAAAAAAAUAAAAAGGUAGAAAUGAAUCAGCCAGUAAUUCAUCAUCCCCUUGCUGCCCUUACUCUUGCAACAAAAGACAAACCUAUAACACGAAAUGUUAGUAAGUGUACAAGUUUUCCUCAUCAUUUUGGAUCCAAUUCUAGGCUCUUAAUUUCUUUUUUCACUGUUCCUUUAUCCAGUUAUUGUGUUCUGCUAGCUGGUGGUUUUGUUUGAAUACUUCUGAUGUUGUAGUGUAUUUACCAUACACAAUAAUCACUAUUCCCGAACUGCUUUGAUAUGCUUCUUCUUGAGCUGAGGGUCUAUCAGAAACAAUCUCUCUAGGGGUAAUGUCUGCACACGCUCUACCCUCUCCUGACCCCAUUUGUAGAAUUGCACUGAGUAUGUUGUUGUUGAACAAUCACUAUUGCCAUUACUAGAAGUUUAGAACUUACCCACAAGUGGUAAAAACUGUUCAACAAGGCUUUCUAAGUCAUCUAAUAUAAUGGUGAUGGAACCUUGACCUCUGCCUUGAAAAUUGCCCGUACUGGUCUGUGGUCUGACAAUCUGAACUCACCUCUAUUAUACUGGCUUUGCUUCAGUCCCUUUCCAAACCAUAUUAUCCGAUCACACCUACAUAAUGUUUUUCUUUAUUAGAUAUGCCUGUUUCAUAAUUUUUAGGUAAAACGCUCGAUUGUUCUUUUAGAACUUACCAAGCUGGGGCUCGACUCUUUCCUCUUUUCCCAUUCUGACUGCAGCCAUAAUAAUCAUCAGAAUCUGGAUAAUAUUUGUAUGUUGGUGCAAACUCGAUAUCUUCCUCUUGCCAGCCGUUGAAAAUACAACCUUCUCUUAGCUCGGCCUUCAGCUUCAUUUUUUCCAAGUUUUCAAUGUGAACUUCAAAAUAGUGGUGAUACUACGAGUACAAAACUCACUACAUGUUUGGAUACUUUUUGGAACUUCAAAUUUAUUCUUUUUGCUUUUAGUACCUGAUCAUUUUGUAGUAAGAUGCUCCACUGCCCGUCAUUGACUAAUGAUCUUGUUGUGGCUUCAGGUAAGUAAAUCCUAUAAUUCAGGUCGCCUAGCCAAAUCACCCUACUGUAUGAGAUUAAUCAGCUUAUGGUUGUUAGAAGAUAUUUUAAGAUAUUCACCAGUUGGAAUAUAAUAAUCAAUAUGUAUGUACGAAGUCAAGUCUUCUUUGUUGUGCUAAAGAAGUGCAAGUGUAAAAUUAUUUGUCCAAAUGCUGACAUGAGGCUUCAUAAGCAUUAUUAAGCACAGUCCCUCCUUCUCUUAUUUUUUUCUGCUUCUUUUUCUAAUUAAUUAAUCAGAUGCUAUGGUCUUGGACAGAAUAAUAGUGCUGGCUUCUUGACUUUAGGAAGCAUAAUAAAACUGUUUACUCUGUUAUCAGCAAACUGGCAGCUAAUUCUGUAGCAAGAGUCAGCAACUGUAACUUUGGCGAAAAUUUCUAGGACGAGGAAAUCCCAGCCUCUGGAUUAUUAAUUUUUUGUGACUGUUGUUAAUAAUUAUCGUAAAAAGGUAUACAUACUCGUGCUGUAGAAUUUUUCUUGGCAAAUACUGAAAUGAGUCGCAAGAAAAUCUUGUGCGUGAUAGUAUUUGAGAGGCAUCUGCAUUUCUCUGUCUCUCAUCUCCUUCUUUUCCUCCAGAAGCCAAAUGACUACACACAAAGCAGAAGCUUGUUUCAUGCAACCAAAAUCUAACCGACACUGAACCCUGUAUAUCAAAUACUGAAAAUUAGUGAACUGAACACUAGAUACAUAUGAUUGUGUUUCUAUCCAAUUUGUGUGUCCACAGGCUCCUCUGCUUCUUGGAGUGAACACCUUGGGGGUGGGGGAAGGGCAGCAUGUGUAAAUAACUCCUGUUGUUUGUUCCUUGAAUUUGCCAGUAACUAUUCUUGAUUAGGAAUGUGUUAUUAUGAACAAGAAAUAGAAAUUUAAUAUCAACUUUGUACCUUGUUUCCAAGGUAGCCAAAAAUACCACAGCCUACACAGGAGACACUUGUAUGACUGAUAUAGGGAAGGAGUGGAGACCGUGCCCAUACUGUAAUAAAUAUUCCCACCAUUUGCUUGCUAAUUAUGCAUUCAAAUUGUGUUGAAUUUUCUACAUUGAACUUCAAGGAACUCCCUUCCUUUAGUGGGUAAACUCUUACACUUUCUUCUUCCUCUGCCUCCUGAAGGGUUAUGUUGUUGACAUCUAUCUUGUUAAGAGCUGUGCUAAUAAGAGAAUUCCAUUGCAUGCAUAUAGUUGUAUUCUCUGGCACUAUAACACUUCCAGCAUUCAGAGGUACAAUUUCUUGAAACCUGAUAAAAGUAGUUUGCUCAAGAGUUGUACAUUCACAAAGUAGAAUUUAGACCAUCAAAUACUGCAAAUAUCACUAUACACUCUACUUCGUUGAUUAGGCUACAUGAUACCAGAUGCCUUGGGAUUACAAAGGGGGUGGAGGGGGAAAGGGACGGGUGAAGCCUACCCCACAAAAGCUGCAACUUGUAUCAGCCUGUCCGUGCUUAGCAUUUUUUUCCCUUCUAUUUUAACUCACCCAGCCCUUAUUGACCCCCCUGCCCCUCGUAGAAAAUGGCUUAUGUCCAACUUUUCAAGAGAUAGGUUAAAAAAAAGUUGAUCUAAUACAGUAGAACUUAUUAAUUUUAAUUACCCUACCCCUUCUCCGCCCACUUUUGAAGUUCAAAAAAUUGCCCCAUUGAAAUAGGCACAGAUGAUGAUGCAUUUGCAUGGCACUGCUACCCUAAGGGCGGCUGCAUAUGUGAAAUGCAGCCAUCAGGUGCUUUAGUUGACCUACCUAUAGUACAAUGCAGUAUAUGGAAGUAAAGGUUACCCGAGAACAUAAAUAUCAGCCAAGUUGUUUCGAGUAUCAAGCAAGUCCUCCAUGUUCAAGUCGUUUGGUGGUGCAAUGCCUCCAACAUUCCAUGAACUAACAAAUAACCUUAUUGAGAAGAAAAAAACAAUAAGUGUGAGAUAAACAGAAGUAUAUAGAAGAUUUGUAAAUGUUACUAUUGUUAAAUUGGCAUUGAAGUAUAUAGAAGAUUUGUAAAUGUUGCUAUUGUUAAAUUGCCGUACGUAAAAUUCUGUAUCUCAGCUAAGGGUGCUGAUGUUGAGUCAGAAUCAGCUAGCAUAUUCUCAUCAUCCAGUCUGCUCUACAGAAUGGUGUUUGCGGCAAAUUUAGCUACAUAGCCUUGAACUGAGGGCAGAAAAGAAGACUAAAGAAAACCAGAAUUUACAUCAUCAUGUAGGCAGAGUGCAUGUGAUUGAGGGUAGUGGGAGGUAGUGAGAGAGAGAGCAGUGGUAAUGGAAGCUAAUAAGUUAAAGGAAAGUGUUGGUAUACCUUUAUAUAAAGGGAAAGGAGGGUGAAAAUUUGAUUUGUAAAGAAGGGAGAUCUAGAGAUGUUAGGUUUUCUUUGGAUGUUGAGAGUGUAAAAAUGAUACUAUGGUGGGCUCUACAAAACACCAAUAAAGAGAAAUGAAUUGUUUAACAAGACAUUAAAAUUGAAGAAGACAGUUAAUGAAAAAUAGUUAGUGGAUAUUGGGAGGCCAAAAUCAUAAGGGAGGUGAUGUGAGCCAUGAUGCAAGUUGGAUUAAGAUCUUCUAUUUAACUUUGAACUAAUACUUUCUUACUUUGGAAAACCAAAGAGAUACUUUCAUUCUUUUGAUCACAUAGUGACUUUGUAACAUUCAAGGUUGGUUGUGAAGGUUAUAAGCACAUGGUUUUGUACUAACACUUAACAUCUUGCUAUACUUUGUUCUUUUGAAUUUCAUCAAUCUCUGGAUGUUGAUGUGCAUGAGGAAGUUAUUGUUAUCUAACUAUUGAAUUAUUUCAUGAAAUCAGGAUGACACCCUAACCACAAGUUUAGGCUGUAACAAGAGCCCUAGUAACUAUGAUGUGAAUAUCCAUUAAUCAAUUGUAUGCAAGAUAUUUGAAACUGAAACAUGAUAGAAACACUUAACCCUAACUAAUGUCUUCCUUUUCUGUAGAUACAGCUAAUGGAAGAGCAAGGAUGACUCAACCAGAUAACAGUUGUUUGAAUGGUAACAUUUUAACUACUGAUUUUUUUUUUCAUUAUUAUAUUGAGACCUCUUCUACUCUCCCAGACUUCGUGGGAUUACACCGGGUAUGUUAUUUUUAGGGUCAUUUAACUAAUUGGCCAAUUCCAUAGUCGUACUACGAGAAUUAACUAAUGCAUACUUCAGUAAAUCAUUUGGUAUUAAUAUAUUAACAUAAAUACAAAUUAAUCAAGGUCGUUUAAUCAUCAAUCAUGGUGAUUAAAAGUGUUGGAACUUUAAAAUAAUAAUCCGUUUUUUUCUAAGCAAAUAAGGCCAAUGGAUGUUGCUUAUCCUUAACCAAUCACGAUUAGUAAUUAUAUUAUUGGAGGAUGAUAAUUAUAGUCUUUCCUGUUUCUUUUCUUAUAUUAAAUUAAAUUAAAGAAGACGAAGUCGCUGAUAUCUGCGACAAACAUGAAUAGAGGAAAUAGUUUGAUAAUACAAAUGCAGUAUUAAUAGGACAACAUAGCUUGUUUUCUUGUUAUUUGUUCACAUAAAAACAGUAUUAAAAUGACAACAUAGAUUAAUUUGUUUAAUUUGAUGAAAAUGACAACAUGGAUUACUUUGUUAAUACAUUGGACGUACAGAAUUCCACCAAGGGAUGCUGUUCAGAGGCGGACCCACCUUUAUAGGUGGGGUGCACGUGCAUCUGUUAACUUUGGAAAAAAUUUACACAUGUAUAUUUAUCCCGAGAAACUGAUAGAAAUUAUGAUAUAAUUAACCGUAGACCCACAAGGAGCAUAAGACUAUUACUGUGUUGUUGUUACAAGCCAAAGAAAUCACCCGCGAGACCUGAGUUCGAAUCUAGCUAGAGCCCCUUUGAUGCUGUUAACGAGAUACCUUUUGGAUUAGUUAGCAGAAGACAAUUGAGAGAUUUUAUUUUUUGUUAUAAUUAUUACUUAAUUAACUAGAAGCUGAAUGCAGGCCUACAUUAAGACUUGAUUAUGAAAGUUCUUAUUUUUUUAAUUUUAUAAUUACCCCGUUCCUUUCAA